UACAGAGGCCUCGAGCGUUAGGCGGAAUCACUGGGCUUAAAGCGUGUGUAGGCGGAUCGUUAAGUGCCUUGUGAAAUCCCACGGCUUAACUGUGGAACGGCUGGGCAUACUGGCGGUCUUGAGCCAUCUAGGGGGCGACUGGAACAAACGGUGGAGCGGUGAAAUGCGUAGAUAUCGUUUGGAACGCCAAAGGUGAAAAACAGGUCGCUGGGGGAUGAGCUGACGCUGA
rnacentral:rRNA from 1 species